GAGAAGAGUCACUUAUACAGGAAUUCGUUUCAGAAAAAGCCAGAUGCCAAACAUCUAUGAGCAUGCACCAAAAUAAAUGGCAUCUCCAUCCUUCCAAUGGCUCACACCAAAAUCCUUGCAGCUGAGAAGAUGAAAGGUAAAUUGAAUGGGGGGGGGGGGAAGAAGCCAGAUGCGUUUGAAUGAGGACAAGGAAAUCACUGCAGUAGAAGAAUAAGGUAAAAGGAAAAUCAGCUGGAACUUCAACCAAUGUUACCAUAAGCAAAAGAAGAACUUACAUAUUUGGGGUUAAUAUGU